CUACCCGGGUAUCUAAUCCCGUUCGCUCCCCUGGCUUUCGUGUCUCAGCGUCAGACGAGACCCAGUGUGCCGCUUUCGCCACCGGCGUUCCUUCCAAUAUCAACACAUUUCACCGCUCCACUGGAAGUUCCGCACACCCCUAUCUCACUCAAGCCAGUCAGUUUAGAGCGCAAUGCCUCGGUUAGGCCGAGGCCUUUCACACCCUACUUAGCUGGCCGCCUACACACCCUUUAAGCCCAGUGAUUCCGAAUAACGUUCGCACAGUACGUAUUACCGCGGCUGCUGGCAC
rnacentral:rRNA from 1 species